CGUGCUUACCAGAUGGGUAUUGUUAUUUAGAACAAAAUAAUUUGUUGCGUUGCAGGUUAAAGAAUAAAGAAGAAGUAGAUAAGAACCUUGUCUGGAAAAACCUCAGGCUGAACAUCUACCAUAUAUUGGGCUCUUAGAUACUUCUGAAGCUGCACCAAGCAAUCAACAACCACAUUCAAUAGAAUCUACUACUAAAAGUGUUAUAUGAAACUAAAAGUGGAUAUUGAGGAUGGUUUUGAUGCAAGAGAAACAGGGGAGAAAUUAAAAGAAUUUAUUGAUCAAUUCAAAAACACACUACUAAAGAAUUUGGAAGACGAUCCACAACACUUUCAACCGGCUAUAGAAGCAUUAAUGAAAAAUUACCACUCGAAUGCUAAAACGCCACUUCAACUAUUAAGUUUAUUGCAUACCUCUUUUAAAAACACAAUAUAUAAGCCAAGUCAUCCACCAACAACUAGAAAGGAAAAAAAAUAUCAGUGCAGCCUACAGCCAUAGCAAGAAGACAUUCGAAAUAUUCAGAUAUGGCUACAGAAAAAGAAGAUUCCAAGGAGGUAAAGGUAAAUGGGGAAAGAAAAAGCCAGUUGCAGCGAAUGUGGUGCAUUCGCUUGGCAAAUGUGUCGAAAACAAUAAAG